UACAGGGGGUGCAAACGUUGCUCGGAAUCAUUGGGCGUAAAGCGCACGUAGGCGGUCUGUUAUGUCGGAUGUGAAAGCCCUCGGCUUAACUGAGGAAGUGCAUCCGAAACUGGCAGGCUAGAGUACUAAAGAGGGUCGCGGAAUUCCCGGUGUAGAGGUGAAAUUCGUAGAUAUCGUAAGGAAGACCAGUGGCGAAGGCGAGUUCCUGGACAGUUGCUGACACUGAGGCACGAAGGCUAGGGGAGCAAACGGG
rnacentral:rRNA from 1 species